ACCUAAGUAGUUUAUUAAGAACCCUAAUCUGUGGCAUUAGAAGAGGCGAGAAAGUCGCCCUAAGGUC
rnacentral:tRNA from 1 species